AAACACUUCUCUAAAUGCUUUACAGAUUGGCAAACACAUCCUUUCACUUAAAAAAAAAAAAAACGUUUUUUCUCUUCACAGAACACAGGAAUUCUCUUAUAAGCAUCGUUAUUACGAGUCAUGGAUACUUUCUGGAGCAGCUGAAUCCACCUUGGGUUUCCUUUUUAUGUACCUCGGUUACAUGAGAAAGACCAUUCCCUAUUUUGCGUGUGGAUAAUCAGAGCUGUAGAUGGAGAUUUCUUCUUGCACGGAAGAAAAUCUUAGGUGACAUUUGUGGAAGAGGACGUACAUGUCUCACUACUUGCUAAAUUAGGACAACCACCCAGUCAUCACUCUCCAGUUCUUGGAACUCUCUUCCAAUGGUAGACCUCAAGAUCAUUCAUUUCAACCAUGGCAUAUGAUGUUUAAAAAUCAUCUGUAUAAGAUGCUAACCUACUAGAACUAUUAACUGAAAGAAUCCACACAAACAGCUAUAAUUUAUGCAAUGAAAUAAUGGGAGAGCCCUAAAUCCAACAGCCCAUUUUGCUUAUCUGUGGCUCUGACCCUGACCCUGCGUGCUCUAGCUACUGAGAUGAUGGUAUGUACCAUGUUGGAAAUUCAAAAGUCAGAACAUUUGCAUUUCUGUGUACUCAGUUGGUUUUGUUAAUCCAGAACUAUGCGAAAUAUCAAAUCACCAUUGCCUAAAGAUCUUGUUUCAGUCCUUCACCAAUGUUGUUCUCUCCUCCUGCAGUAUUCUUCCAACACUAUCACUGUCUUCAAUUUAUCUGCCUAAAUCCUCCUCAACUUUAAGUUCUUAAUUUAGACAUUAUUUCCCUGGGAAGUCUUCUGGGAUUCUUCCAAACCUAGGUACUAUGCUUAUCCAUUUCACACACUUCCAUAGCA